UACGGCUAUAUCAAGUUGGAACACCAGUUCCCGUAUGAUCGUUGAAGUUAAGCAACGUCGAGCCUAGUUAGUACCUAGAUGAGGGGCCGUUUGGGAAUACCAGGUGCUGUAAG